CCCGCUCAGAAACUUAAAUGAAUUGACGGGGCCCGCACAAGCGGUGGAGCAUGUGGUUUAAUUCGAUGAUACGCGAGGAACCUUACCUGGGCUCAAAUGUAUGUUGACGUAUUCUGAAAGGGAUACUUCUUCGGACAAUAUACAAGGUGCUGCAUGGUUGUCGUCAGCUCGUGCCGUGAGGUGUCGGGUUAAGUCCCAUAACGAGCGCAACCCCUAUCAUUAGUUGCCAUCAGGUCAAGCUGGGGACUCUAAUGAAACUGCCUACGCAAGUAGUGAGGAAGGUGGGGAUGACGUCAAGUCCUCAUGGCCUUUAUGACCAGGGCUACACACGUACUACAAUGGCCGAUACAAAGGGCAGCGACACUGCGAGGUGAAGCCAAUCCCGUAAAAUCGGUCUCAGUCCGGAUUGGAGUCUGCAACUCGACUCCAUGAAGUUGGAAUCGCUAGUAAUCGUGGAUCAGCAUGCCACGGUGAAUACGUUCCCGGGCCUU
rnacentral:rRNA from 1 species